UUAAAGAAAGCAGCAAAGAACAACACCAAAUAGUUAUAUAAAUCUAUGCUGGUGUUUUUACUGCUCCUCCAUUUUCUAUUUUUUGUUAACUUCUUUAUCCCC
rnacentral:ribozyme from 12 species